AUAUUGGACAAUGGGGGCAACCCUGAUCCAGCUAUGCCGCGUGUGUGAAGAAGGUCUUCGGAUUGUAAAGCACGUUAAGUUGAGAGGAAGGGCCUGAGGUUAAUACCCUGAAGUUUUGACGUUACCAACAGAAUAAGCACCGGCUAACUCUGUUCCAGCAGCCGCGGUAAUACUGAGGGUGCAAGCGUUAAUGGGAAUUACUGGGCGUAAAGCGCGCGUAGGUGGUUCAGUAAGAUGGGUGUGAAAUCCCCGGGCUUAACCUGGGAACUGCUUUCAUAACUGCUGAGCUAGAGUACGGUAGAGGGUAGUGGAAUUUCCCGUGUAGCGGUGAAAUGCGUAGAUAUAGGAAGGAACACCAGUGGCGAAGGCGACUACCUGGACUGAUACUGACACUGAGGUGCGAAAGCGUGGGGAGCAAACA
rnacentral:rRNA from 1 species